rnacentral:rRNA from 1 species
UACAGAGACCUCAAGCGUUAUCCGGAUUCACUGGGCGUAAAGCGUCCGCAGGUGGUUCGUUAAGUCAUUUGUCAAAUCCCGGUGCUCAACAUCGGAACUGCGAAUGAUACUGACGGACUCGAGGAUGGAAGAGGUAAGAGGAACUGCUGGUGUAGUAGUAAAAUGCGUUAAUAUCAGCAGGAACACCAAAGGCGAAGGCAUCUUACUGGGACAUUCCUGACACUCAUGGACGAAAGCGUGGGGAGCAAAACGG